GUCUCAGAGGAUCUCAGACUAACCUGACUGGAAGUCCGGUUUUCUCUUACAGUUACAACCGUAUAUUUGAUUUGGAGGGACGUGGCACAGGCUCGCCGGAUGAGAUGUGACCUCAUAAGCCUCACGGAGCCUGAAAUGAGAAGCCAAGAGGCUGACGUUCAGCAGUCGCACCAAGCAUCCGCCGAACGUGCUGGACUGGGAGGCAGCGUGCGGCAGGCGACUAUUUCAGUAGACGAUAUGGGAAUCCGGGAAGACAUCUGUCUGAGGGGAACUCAAUGAGCUUGCUAAGGUGUAAAGUUUUAA